UCACAGUCCCACAUCCUGUGGGUUGGAGUUGAUGUUGUUGCUGCUGGAAGGAACACAAAUUCUUUCUUCCCUCAAACCAGUCUGCGAGAAGCUGCAAACUGUGGGUUCUUCUUUCGGUAAAGGCGCGAAAGGCCAUGACAUUAUCCAACACUUGAACUAUUGUUCUUUACAGCUAAACUCUUGGCGGUUGGUUCUUCUUAAGUGGAAAGAUGCUGCCUCACCCACUCACGCUCAAUGGCUUAAUGAUAUUAUGGCCUGUUUAGACCUCAAAAAGCUUCAUUAUUCACUUCUUAAUUUGGAUAUAAAGUUUCAUAAGGUGUGGGGACCUUUUCUUGAAUAUUUCCACAGUUCUUCUUUAGGAUGCUGCCUGGCCUGCUGCGUUCACCAGCAACUUUGAAGAUUAUUAAGGGAUUGGACACGCUGGAGGCAGGGAGCAUGUUUCCGCUGAUGGGUGCCGAUGCCUACAAAUGGGUCUCAAAUGACGGACGUAGAUAGUUCAUUUAGAGAAUUCAUUUCUUCUGAACGGGCUGGUCGAAGGGAUGCAUUACCUGACAUAACAGAUUUGCAGGAGCCUUCAAGGGACGACGUGGUCAAAAGCAGUUUAACUGUAAACAUGACAAAGCUUACAAUCAAAUCCGAAGAAUGCACUGAAGAUACAAAGCCUGUUACAGAAUCACAGACUCCUUGUCAAGUAGAGAACCAGGAGACAUCCCCUCAGUGCAAGGAUGGUUGUGAAAACCAAUGAUGAAUGCAAAUCUGGUUUUGAUCAUCCAAGAGCUAAGAAUUUCUCAGAAUAUAAUUCAUUCCAAUACCAAAAGAAUAUUUUGAAGAGUUGUAGAAUUCAAAGGAAAUGGUGCAUUUGAUUUAUUGACACCAAUUAGCAUUUGUGAUUUAUGUUCUAAACACUGAUAUAUUUUACUGCAGCUAAGGUACAAGAUAAUUGGUUUCUGUAGAUUAAAAAUAAAAUUGAAGUUGUUGCAUUUAAUUGAAUAACAUUUAAUGUUUAUACAGAUUAUUUGAUUCCUUUCAGAUCUCUUGAUAUGUUAAACCUAGACAUUAAUUUGUAAGAAAUUUGGAAAAAUAUUAUCAGACACUUCAUAAUAUCAAUUGGGGACCAGAACUCCACAAAAAAAAUUUGUAGAUAUUCCACUGUGUGAUGCAAGUCUUCAUUAAAAAAAUAGCACAUGUUAUUUAUAGUCAAAGGUAUGCAGGUACCAUCAGUCAUUACAUUUGCCCAUUUCUGGGUAUUUGCAAUGGAACUUGCUAUGAAUAGGUAAUCAUUUUGGAGCAGUAAAUUCUAUAGCGGAUUUAGAAGCAGUGAACAGAGAAAACAACUGAAUUUCUUCCUGACCAAUCAUUUGAAGACUGGUUAGUGAACAUCAGAGUCUGAGCCAGGAAAUAUACAUUAGAAUCAUUUAUUCAAUAAUAUGUACAGGCUCGAGACAGACUUUAAUGUACAGAAAAUGGGACAGACAGAAAGAAAGUUAGUAUUGAAAGAGGAAUAAAAGUGAGACAGAGUACACUAAUUUCAUGCUUGUUGUAAUUUAAUGCCUCAUGUUUAGAUGGCCGUAUAAAAAAAUUCUAGAGUAGCAGGGUAACUCCAUAUGCUAUCUUCUGAUUGCCGCAUGUAACUAAACAUGUAAGAUAACAGGAUAUUAAUAAUAAGUACUAAAAGUUUCACUUAUUUCUACAGCAAAAUCCAGUCUCCACUAACUUGCAAAAACAUAAGAUAAAUUAGUUCCUUUAUAUACAAAGUAUCUGGUAUUCUAGACAUUUUAAAUUUCACUUGGUAUAGUUGUAUGAAAAUCAAUAAAUGCAGUCUAGAUUCAAAAGUCUUAAUCUACGCAUAGUGUAAAACAAAUUCAUUACACUAGCACAUGGUUAAAUUGAAUACACACUGUUUGAAUUGAAUGCAAGUCCUUCCAAAGCCAGUUGCUGAUCAAUUGGUCUGCUUGCAAAAAAAUUUAUUCUCUCAUUGAAGAAGUGGAUUUCUUUACUCUGAGGCCUCUUCAGUUUGUGCAUCAAAGAUUUCAAUGUAAAAACUGAAGGAACUGGUUGAAAAAAAUAACAAAAUCGAAGACACAUUUAAUCCUUCAGGUGGCCAAAGGUGUAUUGUUGAGAGGUAGGAAUCGACUUAAGAAGGUGGAAUUCAACAUAAAUAAGUACAAAAUGAUGCAUUUUGGUUGGGCAACAAUUUAAAAAAUUCUUCCUGGAAUGGAAGUACGUUCAGUGCUAUGGAAAAAUAAAUUUGGAGGUUUGUUUUCACAGAGCAAUAAAGAGAGCCUUUUUAAUUAUUUAGUAUGUUUUUAUGGAAAGGGGAUUUUGGGGUUUUAUGAUACCAAAUAUCCUAAAUGAAAUUGUGACCCUAAUUUUUUAAGUAAGUCAUUGAGGGAGAGGGGGGGAGAGGGAGGGAGAGAUAGAGAGAGUAGUGCAGCACAGAUACAGGCGCUUUGGUUAAUCAAAGCCACACCAAUCAUCAAGCGCUCAUUUUUACAUAAGUCCCACCCUGACCUAUAGAUUUCUCCUCACAUCCCUUUGUUGCUUUACACUGUUCACCAGGGGAUUUUUUGUUCUGAGUUCCUGAACUUGUAGGCUGUACAUUCAAAAACACAAAAAUAUCCCAAUUCACUUCAUUGGUGUAGUAACAAAUAGAAAAAUAACAUUGAUAUUAUAAAGAAAUUAAUAAGGAGGACCAAAUAAAUGAUUAGAACAAUGGGUUUGAAGGACUUUCCUGAAUUGAGUAUGAAGAAAAAUUCAGAGUUUGGGCCAUUUUCUAGGCAAAGGGCUGUCACCAAUAAUAAUGUGACUAAAUUUUAUAUAAGUUCAAGAGAGUAGAAUUGGAGGAAUGCAGAUAUUUCUGACAGAGAUGGGGGAGAGUAUACAUACAGAGGGAUACAACUCGUAAGGACUUUAAAACAAGGAUGAAAAUUUUAAGUUCAUGCAUAAUUGGGAGCCAGGAUCAAUCAUCAAGUACAGAGGAAAUGGUUGGAUCAGACUUGAUUAGAGUUUGGGUAAAAACAGCAGAGAGUAUCAGCUGGAUUAGUUUGGUCAAAGGUAACACAAUCAUAGAUGAGGGCAUCAGAGGCAGAUGAGUCAAGGCAGGGAUGGUGAAUAUGUGAUAAUCUGAAUCAGGUUUAGGUCCAAAUCUCAGGAUUAAGUGGGAUGAUAGGGUCGUGAACAGUAUGUAUUGUUUCUGGACAAAUGCCAUGCCAUUGCGUACCUGGGGAAAGAGGAUUCACGUGGUGAUUUAAGGUUCUGAGAUCAGUCUUUCCAAUGCUUAGUCAUCUGGAUUAGUGCUUGGUCCAUGUCCACAUUCAUUUGGAAGGAAUUUUGUCCUGUGUUUUCAGAGGAUGAUGUCAGGCAUCAGUGCUUAAUUAGAUAGGACAUUAUUUACCAAAAGUCAGUGGAAAUACUGUUUAUGGAGCAUGAUUGAAGUUUCCAUCAAGAUAAUAGCAGAAAAUUGGGGUAAACACUGUGGACUUUAGCAAAGUUUCAGUGGACAGUCAGAGUACUGUUUAUGCCUGAUAGGUGAAAAUGCAAGGCACUAAUCUGCCACCUUGAAUGGGUUUAAGUACGCAGCAAGUGGCAUUACUUUCUGUGGCAAUUUGGGCUUUUAUCCAUUAGACAAUGGGUGAUAUAACAAAAUCUCUUAAAAAUGUCAGGUUCCUAGAGAGUUACUCUGGAGAAAUUUAGAAUGAGUGUCCAAAGAGGCAAGACUAAAUGUGGAAGACUUAGAACAGAGUAAGAGGAAUCCUGUUGCACAAAAUGUCGAACCUUAAGAUUCAUUUCCAUCAUAAACAGUAUCAAGUUAGUCAGGAAUUUCUUUAUAGCUGUCUCCUUGGGGAUGAUUCUUAAACAUUGAACUAGAAACUCUAAUUAGCAGUUAUGAAAUGUGGAUUUCCUCUGUAUUUUUACCAAUGUCAUGUAUAAGAAUAAUUUUGUGAAAAUGCUAGGCUGUUGCUAAUGGUGGAUGAAUGAGAAGGUAUAAAAAUAUGGGAAAAAUUUGAUUAUGCCUUUAUAUGUAUAAUUGCAUUAUUUAAACUGAGAAAUUUUGUGAGCAGGUUAUUUAUCCCUUGAAAAGCUGUUCUGCAAUUUAGUGAAAUUACUACUGACCAUGACUAAAAACCCAUAAACCUGCCUUUGCCACAUAUUCCUUAAUAUCUUAGUGAUAGUUAACAAAUUCCACGACACAUGCCGGUGAUAAUAAACCUGAUUCUGAUUCUGAUAGUAUAUUAGUGUCAGUCUUGAAAUUGACAAUCCACCAAACAAGCUCUUUGCAGAAGAAACUGUUCCCAUCACUCCUGAAUGACACGGCACUACUUUAAUUUUAUUUCCCAUUCCCAGCAGCUAUAACCAAUUGAAGAAGGAGAAAUACCACUGGUUUCCUGUAAUAUCUUGAAAAUAUAAACUGACUAAUUAGCCAUCAUUAAGCAUCAAAAUUUCAGGGAACAUAAACUUAUUUUGCUUUCAUAUUUCCUUAUAACAUAGAAGGCCACUUUGGCCCAUCAAAUUCAUGCUGGUCUACAAAGCAAUCCUUUUCCCCCCACUAAUAUUCCAAGUACAAGUAGUUUCCAGGCUAUAACAGGGUUCAGUUUCCAAUAAUUCUUUAGAUAGAUAGAUAUGUUAUUGAUUCCAAAGGAAGUUACAGUGUCACAGUAGCAUUACAAGUUCACAGAUAUGCAAUAUUAGAAGAGAAGUACAAAUGUUUGUAAGAAGAAUAAAUAAAAAAUAAGUUACCUUAAACAGGUGGAGGGGUCAUCACUCUGGCUAUAGGUUGAUUCAUUAUAGAGCCUUAUGGCUAAGGGUAAGAAUGACCUCAUAUAGUGCUCUUUGGAGCAGCGCAGUUGUCAGUCUGUUACUGAAAUUGCUCCUCUGUUCUGCCAAGGUAACAUGCAAAGGCUGAGAAACAUUGUCCAGAAUUGCCAGGGUUUUCCGUAGGGUCCUUUGUUCUACCACAGCCUCCAGUAUGUCCAGUUUGACUCCUAUAACAGAGCAGGACUUUCUAAUCAGUUUAUUGAGCCUAUUGGCAUCACCCGUGUUGAUGCCAUUGCCCCAGCACACUACCGCAGGGAAGAUUGUACUGGCAAUAACAGACUGGUAGAAUGUUUGAAGACGAGGCCUGCAUACUCCAAAGGACCUCAGUCUCCUCAGGAAGUAGUGUCAAAAAUGUCAAGAAAUGAACUGAAAAAAAGCUUCUGAGAGAGGAUCACAGAAAAUGACUGUGACAGGACAGUGAGCGGUCUCAAGCAUUCCCAAUUCCCUUUGCCUUAACCGAGCUCCCAAUUGCUGUGCAAGGAUGAGGGAAGAAGAGAAGUGGAAAUAUACCAUUUACACCUGGUAGAAGAUACCUGCAGCCUCACACCAGCCAGCAAAUCCAUCCCCCCAGUCUCCCAGAUGCUCGCUCCUUUGUAGGGAGUUUGUAAUCUGGAGAGGACCUAUAAUUUACCCACAUUCUCAUCAAUUUUGCCUCCCUCCCUCCCCUCCCCCCACCAAUUCACUCACUAAACUACCCCACUAGGGACAAUUUAGGGGUCAAUUUGCUUACAAACCUGCAUACCUUGAGGAGAUGGGAGCUCCAGGAUGAAACCCCUGGCAUUAUAGAGAGAAAGCACAUACUGACAGAACCACGGGGUCAGGGUUGAAUCUUGCUCACCGAAGCAGUGGGGCAGUAGAUCUGCUAGCUUUAUCACCUUUGUGUAAUCUAGCCGUACAAUUAAUCAUUUAGAAUCGAAGUAUCAUUCCAAAUCAUCUAUACACUAAGCCUCUAGAAGGACUUGUUACUCUUCGAGGGAGCAGGGUCCAGGAAUGCUCAAUCUUUCAGGUAUGAUCCAACCCUGUUUUUGUUAAUCUGCAGCAUAAAAUCUAUUCCUUUAUUAUCCUUUAAAUAUAUAGGACAGUAUUACAUUAACAUUUCAGGUAUUUUCUAUAUUUGUGCAUGUUAUUUUACUGAUCCUUGUGAAGAUGCUACCAAGUCCCUUCUGGAGCAUCUCCAUAUCUAAGUUAUUGCUUAGAAUUUCUGUUUUAUCCUUGUGUCCUUGUACUUGUGUAUAAGAUGAUGAGAGGCACUGAUCAUGUGGAUAGUUAGAGGCUUUUUCCCCAGGGCUGAAAUGGCUAACACUAGAGGGCACAGUUUUAAGGUGCUUAGAAGCAGAUGCAGAGGAGAUGUCAGGGUUAAAUUUUUUACACAGAGAAAGGUGAGUGCGUGGAAUGGGCUGCUGGCAACCAUGGUGGAGGCGGAUACGAUAGAGUAUUUUAAGAGACUCCUGGAUAGGUACAUGGAGUUUAGAAAAAUAGAGGGCUAUGGGUAACCCUAGGUAAUUUCUAAAGUAAGUACAUAUUCGGCAUAGCAUUGUGGGCCAAAGGGCCGAUAUUGUUCCAUAGGUUUUCUAUGUUUCUAUAUUAUCUCUAUUGAAAUCUAUUUGCCACAGUUAUGCCCAUUGGCCUAUCUAUUGAUACCUCUUUGUAAUCCCCUGCUUCUACCUACUCUGUUUAUAAUGCUACCAAUCGAUAUGCUAUGGAGAAGUUUUCUAGCUCAUCAUCUGUUUACAAUUGUUGAGAUUAGUUCAGGCUCAUUAAUCAUGUAGUAACAGGAUACCAUUAAUCAUGUAAUACUAGUAAAGUAUCAACUCUGUCACUACUCUGUCCCUUGGUAUUUGGCCAAUUUCCUGAUGACUGCUAGAACAAAAAUGUACAUUCUACACAGAAUGUAAUGCCAUAAGGAUGUGAUGUUAUAUUUUCUUCCAGUGGAAUUCUACACAGGAAACAGUAUUGCAAAACUAUAAUCAUUCAUUGUCACUUUGGUAAGCUUUUCAGGUACACUAAGCAUUAUUUAAAUUACUUGCAUUAAGUUUGCUAUUACAAGGUAAGCAAUUAGUUGUUUGUAUGUGUUUCACCAUUCCUAUUUAGCAAUCUCUCAAGGACCACAUUUAUAUGCAUAGUACAUCACUAUUUCCUUGCUGCACGAUGGCAUGACAUUAAUUCAUUAGAUCUUUUUAACCCUGAUUAAGUUGGAGCAUUGCCAUCCUAUAUACAUUCUCAGAGCUGUCUGGUAUAUGUGGACUAUUUUGUUCUAAACAGCUACAGAAGCAGUGUUUAAAUUUUUAUUCACAAUUAAAGGAUAGCUUUAUUAUGUUCUAGUGUACAUUCAAGUUAUUUUGUCUAAACAGCUCUAGAAACAGAAUCUAAAUUAAUAUUCACUAUUAAAGGAUAACUUUAUUAUGUUCUACAGCAUAUAUUCAAGUUCCAUAUUCUCGCAAUGUAUGAAAUUAACUGUCCCUGUUUAAGAAGGCUUUGCAUGGACAGUUAGAAUGAGAGUAUUUCAGUAUGUGGAUUUUUAAACUGAUAAACCAAGUCUAAAAAUGACAUUUAUUAAUAAAGCUAUUCAUAAAAUGCAUAAAUUUAAUAAUUAAACAGAAACAUUGGGAACAAGAAUCCCAUUAAUUACUGUUUAUUUAUUUUUCAUUGUUAUGUAAUGUGAAUUGAAAAAAUACUCAACUAUUGAUGAAAGAGACUUAGGUAUUGCUACAUCUUCCUGCUUGAAGCAACUUAUGUAAAUAUGCCUGCCAUUUAAUAAAGUUAUUUAUACGAUUUAUUUUGAAAGUACUAUUU